AGGAUGAACGCUGGCGGCGUGCUUAACACAUGCAAGUCGAACGAACCUUCGGGUUAGUGGCGGACGGGUGAGUAACGCGUGAGAAUCUGCCCUCAGGAGGGGGAUAACGGUUGGAAACGACCGCUAAUACCCCAUAUGCCGACAGGUGAAAUGUUUACUGCCUAAGGAUGAGCUCACGCCUGAUUAGCUAGUUGGUGAGGUAAUGGCUUACCAAGGCCACGAUCAGUAGCUGGUUUGAGAGAACGAUCAGCCACACUGGGACUGAGACACGGCCCAGACUCCUCCGGGAGGCAGCAGUGAGGAAUUUUCCGCAAUGGGCGAAAGCCUGACGGAGCAAUACCGCGUGAGGGAUGAAGGAUUUUGGUCUGUAAACCUCUUUUCUCAAGAAAGAAGUUCUGACGGUACUUGAGGAAUAAGCAUCGGCUAACUCCGUGCCAGCAGCCGCGGUAAUACGGGGGAUGCAAGCGUUAUCCGGAAUCAUUGGGCGUAAAGCGCCUGUAGGUUGUUUAUUAAGUCUGCUGUUAAAACGUGGAGCUUAACUCCAUCAUGGCAGUGGAAACUGAAAGGCUUGAGUAUGGUAGGGGCAGAGGGAAUUCCCGGUGUAGCGGUGAAAUGCGUAGAUAUCGGGAAGAACACCAGUGGCGAAGGCGCUCUGCUGGGCCAUAACUGACGCUCAUGGACGAAAGCCAGGGGAGCGAAAGGGAUUAGAUGCCCCUGUAGUCCUGGCCGUAAACGAUGAACACUAGGUGUCGGGGGAAUCGACCCCUUCGGUGUCGUAGCUAACGCGUUAAGUGUUCCGCCUGGGGAGUACGCACGCAAGUGUGAAACUCAAAGGAAUUGACGGGGGCCCGGCACAAGCGGUGAAGUAUGUGGUUUAAUUCGAUGCAACGCGAAGAACCUUACCAGGGCUUGACAUCCUGCGAACCUUUAAGAAAUUAGAGGGUGCCUUCGGGAACGCAGAGACAGGUGGUGCAUGGCUGUCGUCAGCUCGUGUCGUGAGAUGUUGGGUUAAGUCCCGCAACGAGCGCAACCCACGUUUUUAGUUGCCAGCAUUCAGUUGGGCACUCUAGAAAGACCGCCGGUGAUAAACCGGAGGAAGGUGUGGAUGACGUCAAGUCAUCAUGCCCCUUACAUCCUGGGCUACACACGUACUACAAUGCUACGGACAAAGGGCAGCAAGUUCGCGAGGACAAGCAAAUCCCAUAAACCGUGGCUCAGUUCAGAUCGUAGGCUGCAACUCGCCUACGUGAAGUAGGAAUCGCUAGUAAUCGCAGGUCAGCAUACUGCGGUGAAUACGUUCCCGGGCCUUGUACACACCGCCCGUCACACCAUGGAAGUUGGCCACGCCCGAAGUCGUUACUUUAACCCUUGUGGAGAAGGACGCCGAAGGUGGGGCUGAUGACUGGGGUGAAGUCGUAACAAGGUAGCCGUACCGGAAGGUGCGGCUGGAUCACCUCCUAA
rnacentral:rRNA from 1 species